rnacentral:rRNA from 1 species
AACGAACGCUGGCGGCAGGCCUAACACAUGCAAGUCGAGCGAGCAUUUCGGUGCUAGCGGCGGACGGGUGAGUAACGCGUGGGAACGUGCCCUUUUCUGCGGAAUAGUCCUGGGAAACUUGGGGUAAUACCGCAUACGCCCUUUCGGGGAAAGAUUUAUCGGAGAAGGAUCGGCCCGCGUUGGAUUAGGUAGUUGGUUGGGUAAUGGCCCACCAAGCCGACGAUCCAUAGCUGGUUUGUGAGGAUGAUCAGCCACACUGGGACUGAGACACGGCCCAGACUCCUACGGGAGGCAGCAGUGGGGAAUCUUAGACAAUGGGGGCAACCCUGAUCUAGCCAUGCCGCGUGAGUGAUGAAGGCCUUAGGGUUGUAAAGCUCUUUCAGCUGGGAAGAUAAUGACGGUACCAGCAGAAGAAGCCCCGGCUAACUCCGUG